rnacentral:lncRNA from 1 species
AUAUGCUACAAGAUUCGAUGUGACGGAAAAUCUUAAAAACUUUUUCAUUCUCAGGAUGAACUAAACAAGGCCGAAGGGGAAAACUUUUUGAUUCGUCCUGUGCUGCCGCGCGGCGGUGUCGCUGGAUGCGCCUGCAUUUGUUGUUUCGGGCGGCCUGCGCUGCGCCCUGCCUGACUCGCAGACUCGGCGGCGUUGGCGACUCCUUCGCGGCUAAGCAAGGAAGGAGGGACCCCGGCGCUGCGGAUGGCCGGGGGAUCGUUCGAUCUCGCUGUGAAACCACGAUGCCCCGUUCCCGUUCUGAUUAGGCCCAACUCGGCCACUUACUGCCAAAAAAAGGUGAAAGAAAGAAAAAAAAAGCCCAGCACAAUGACUCCGAGAUGGAAGUGCAGAAACUCUAUUACGACGAUUAAGGCCCAUACCUGGUGCAAAUAAAUCUCCUCGGUUGCUCCUGCGUAUUAGGCCUUGUUUAGUUCCAUUUUUUUUUUCA